GGAUGUGAGGCGAUCUGGCUGGACAUCUGUCGCCCCAUUGAUCACCAGGGGUGACUGGGCUGAUCUGGCUGACUAGGCGGGGGUCCCCCUCCUCCCCCACUGUUCCAUGUGCAUCCCUCCUGAGCUGUGUGCUUAGUCGAAGAGGACGACCUUCCCCAAUAGAGGAGGACCGUUCUUCGGUCAAGGGUAUAUGAGUAGCUGCGCUCCCUGCUAGAACCUCCAGACGAGCUCUCAGGGUCCGUUUGUAGGGGAACGUGUGGUGGUCAAGCUUCCAAGACUCCAGAUGCAUCCAAAUGAGGUGCUGCCUGUGGCCCUUCUGCUCUUC
rnacentral:snRNA from 1 species